UGAGAUUCCAGGGUUGCCUAGCACCUUUAGGAAGAACUCAAGAACUGGCCUUUCUUUUGAAGGGUCCUUAGAAUCUAGGGGGCUGGCUUAGAUCUGGGGAGAGGCUACAUUUUGGCUUGGGUGGGAAUGGGGUUCUCAGGAAGUAGAGUUUGUAGUUUGAAUGGGAAGGGUGAAGUGGUGAUUUGGGGUCCUUGCCCUAGUCCAAGCUGCUGUCAACUCAUUAUAAGAUCUCCAGCCUUUACCCUUUGAGCCUAGUUUGUUUCUCUGUAAGAACAGGCUGGACUAACCUCUGAAGAAAGCAAUGCCAGCCGGUGAGAAACAUCUGGAAUCACAGGGCAGUGAGGCCUCGGUAGGGGGCUGCCUUCCUCAGCUUAGCAGUGACUGUCAGAAGGCAGAGAUUAACUAACCAUUUGUCCUUGAAACCUCAAAAAGGGUGAACUACUCAUGCUUCAAGACUCAUGUGCCAUCUUCUCCGAGGGACAGGAUCUCUGGCCCAUGCUCCCGGCAGUGAGCUGGCCAUGUGUGCCCAUAUCUACCUUGGACUUACUCUAUAAUAGAAUUUAUGAAAUUGAACGGAUUUGCUUAUAUAUCUGGCUCCCUCCUUUUGACUGCACACUCCCUUAGAUUUUUUUUUUUUCUCAAGUGUCGCCCUCAUUGGCAAGCCUUUUGGGAUCCCCUCCCCAGAGCUAGAUAGCUCCCCUGUGCUCCCGCGUAUCCAGAGCUCACGGAUAUGACGGCGCUUACCACACUGUACUUCACGGCACUCGUCUACCACCCAGACAGGGCCCUCCCUGGACGGCAGGGCCUGAGUCUCAUUUAUCUCUGCAUGUCCAGAACUGGCAACGUAACUGGCAGAGAUUAGUCAACAAAUGUCUGUUGAAUGAUGAGAAAAUCAACUUCCCACACUU